rnacentral:lncRNA from 1 species
CUUCAUAAACAAUCAAGUAUAUUAUUUAUUUGCUUACAUAAAUCUAAAUGAAAUUCGUACCUAAAGUUGAAACAGCAGUUCAUAACAUUUUUUAUUAUUUUUUUAAUAUAAGUGAUGGUCUAAACAAUAAAAGGAUGAAAGGUUUCUCACACACACUACUAUGGCAACAUGAAGGUUCGAACCUCAUACCACUUGUUCGCAAAUUAAGACAUUUGAAGAGAUUUUAAGGGAGAAAUUUUGAGAGGUAGAUGACAU